UACGGAGGGGGCUAGCGUUGUUCGGAAUUACUGGGCGUAAAGCGCACGUAGGCGGCUUUGUAAGUUAGAGGUGAAAGCCCAGGGCUCAACCCUGGAAUUGCCUUUAAGACUGCAUCGCUUGAACAUCGGAGAGGUAAGUGGAAUUCCGAGUGUAGUGGUGAAAUUCGUAGAUAUUCGGAAGAACACCAGUGGCGAAGGCGACUUACUGGACGAUUGUUGACGCUGAGGUGCGAAAGCGUGGGGAGCAAACAGG
rnacentral:rRNA from 1 species